rnacentral:lncRNA from 1 species
GUGCAGCCCCCUCCGAUGGCUCCGUCCCCGAUGGACCAGCAGCCGCCACCGCAGCAGUGGACCGUGAUGCAGCCGACACUGCAGCCGCAGUACUACCAGGCACCCCCGGCGCCGCCGAUGUGGAACCAGCAGCCCACCCAGGUGCCGCCUCCGCUUCCCCAGCCCGUGCCGCAGCAGUCCCAGCCGCAAUACCAGGCCCCUGCGCCGGUGCCACCUCCCCAAAUGCAGUAUCAGGCGCCGGCGCCCGUCCCGGCCAUGGCGCCACAGCCGGCGUCCGCUGAUGAGAUUCGCACGCUUUGGAUUGGAGACUUACCGUACUGGAUGGAAGAGAGCUAUCUCUACAGCUGCUUUGUUCAUACCGGA